rnacentral:rRNA from 1 species
AUCGAACCCGGAGAUAGCUGGUUCUCCUCGAAAUAGCUUUAGGGCUAGCCUCAUGGAUCAUUGAUGGGGGUAGAGCACUGAAUGUGCGCGGGGGCCACAAAGCCUACCAAACGCUAUCAAACUUCGAAUACCAUACAAUGCAGACCAUGGGAGUCAGUCCGCGAGAGAUAAGUUCCGCGGGCAAAAGGGGAACACCCCAGAUCAACCGCUAAGGUCCCCAAGUUCACGUUAAGUGGAGAAGGAUGUGGAAUUGCACAGACAACCAGGAUGUUGGCUUAGAAGCAGCCACACAUUUAAAGAGUGCGUAAUAGCUCACUGGUCGAGUGAUUGUGCGCCGAAGAUGUCCGGGGCUAAACGUGACACCGAAGCGAUGGGUGCAUCUGAAGAAGAUGCGCGGUAGAGGAGCAAUGUGCAGAGGCAGAAGCCGUAUCGAGAGGCACGGUGGACACUGCACAAGAGAGAAUGCCGGUAUGAGUAGCGAGAGGCAUGCGAGAAACAUGCCCGUCGAAAGCCCAAGGUUUCCUGGGGAAGGUUCAUCCGCCCAGGGUAAGUCGGGGCCUAAGCCGAGGACGGAAGUCGUAGGCGAUGGACAGCAGGUGUAGAUUCCUGCACUACCGAUGGAAUGAAGCAGUGACACAGAAGGAUAACUCGAGCAGGGUGAUGGUCAACCCUGUGCAAGCAUCAAGGUUGGGUUGUAGUGAAGUACGCAAUCCUAUAAGCUGAGAUGUGAUGCGGACCGAAAUUUCAGUAGGGAAGCGAGUGAGUUCACGCUGGCGAGAAAAGCUGCUAGUACAUCCAAAGGUACCCGUACCGGAAACCGACGCAGGUGGGCGAGGAGAGAAUCCUGAGACGAACGGGAGAACCCUUGUUAAGGAACUCGGCAAAAUGACCCCGUAACUUCGGGAUAAGGGGUGCCUGCGAGAGCAGGCCGCAGAGAAUAGUCACAAGCGACUGUUUAGCAAAAACACAGGUAUCUGCGAAAGCGAGAGCUGACGUAUAGGUGCUGACACCUGCCCGGUGCUGGAAGGUUAAGGGAACAUGUUAGAGCAAUCGAAGCAUCGAACCGAAGCCCCAGUAAACGGCGGCCGUAACUAUAACGGUCCUAAGGUAGCGAAAUUCCUUGUCGGGUAAGUUCCGACCCGCACGAAUGGUGUAACGACUUGUGAGCUGUCUCAACAGGGGGCCCGGUGAAAUUGAAGUAUGGGUGAAGAUGCCCAUUACCCGCGACUGGACGGAAAGACCCCGUAGAGCUUUACUGCAGCCUGAUAUUGAGUUUCGGUAACUGAUGCACAGGAUAGGUGGGAGUCUGAGAGACAUGGGUUUCGGCUCGUGUGGAGACGAUGUUGGGAUACCACUCUUCGGUUACUGAAAUUCUAACAUAGCUCUGUGAAACCAGAGGAUGGACAGUGUCAGGUGGACAGUUUGACUGGGGCGGUCGCCUCCGAAAGAGUAACGGAGGCGCCCAAAGGUACCCUCAGAAUGGAUGGAAACCAUUCGAAGAGCGCAAAGGCAGAAGGGUGCCUGACUGCGAGAUUGACAAAUCGAGCAGAGACGAAAGUCGGGCUUAGUGAUCCGGCGGUAUUGAGUGGAAAAGCCGUCGCUUAACGGAUAAAAGCUACCUCGGGGAUAACAGGCUGAUCUCCCCCAAGAGUCCACAUCGACGGGGAGGUUUGGCACCUCGAUGUCGGCUCAUCGCAUCCUGGGGCUGUAUUCGGUCCCAAGGGUUUGGCUGUUCGCCAAUUAAAGCGGCACGCGAGCUGGGUUCAGAACGUCGUGAGACAGUUCGGUCCCUAUCCAUCGUGGGCGUAGGAGUCAUGAGAGGAGCUGUUCCUAGUACGAGAGGACCGGAAUGGACGCACCACUGGUGCAACUGUUGUCGUGCCAACGGCAUAGCAGGGAAGCGAAGUGCGGAUGGGAUAAACGCUGAAGGCAUCUAAGCGUGAAGCCCACCUCAAGAAUAAGUGUCCCAUUCGAAAGAAGUAAGACCCCUGGAAGACUACCAGGUGAUAGGUCAUCGGUGAAAGAGUGGUAACAUUUGGAGCUUGAUGAUACUAAUCGGUCGAGGACUUGAUCUA